GACGAACGCUGGCGGCGUGCUUAACACAUGCAAGUCGAACGGUGAAAGCGGAGCUUGCUCCGCUGGAUCAGUGGCGAACGGGGGAGUAACACGUGGGCAACCUGCCCCUCACUUCGGGAUAACUCCGGGAAACCGGGGCUAAUACCGGAUAUGACCUCCUUGGGCAUCCUUGGAGGGGGAAAGUUUUUCGGUGAGGGAUGGGCCCGCGGCCUAUCAGCUUGGUGGUGAGGUAGUGGCUCACCAAGGCGACGACGGGUAGCCGGCCUGAGAGGGCGACCGGCCACACUGGGACUGAGACACGGCCCAGACUCCUACGGGAGGCAGCAGUGGGGAAUAUUGCGCAAUGGGCGAAAGCCUGACGCAGCAACGCCGCGUGCGGGAUGACGGCCUUCGGGUUGUAAACCGCUUUCAGCAGGGAAGAAGCCGCAAGGUGACGGUACCUGCAGAAGAAGCACCGGCUAACUACGUGCCAGCCGCCGCGGUAA
rnacentral:rRNA from 1 species